rnacentral:tRNA from 2 species
AGGAGCGUAGCUCAACUGGUAGAGUAGCGGUCUCCAAAACCGUUGGUUGGGGGUUCGACUCCUCUCGCUCCUGCCA